rnacentral:rRNA from 1 species
GUGUGUGAAGAAGGCCUUUUGGUUGUAAAGCACUUUAAGCGAGGAGGAGGCUACCUAGAUUAAUACUCUGGGAUAGUGGACGUUACUCGCAAAAUAAGCACCGGCUAACUCUGUGCCAGCAGCCGCGGUAAUACAGAGGGUGCGAGCGUUAAUCGGAUUUACUGGGCGUAAAGCGUGCGUAGGCGGCUGAUUAAGUCGGAUGUGAAAUCCCUGAGCUUAACUUAGGAAUUGCAUUCGAUACUGGUCAGCUAGAGUAUGGGAGAGGAUGGUAGAAUUCCAGGUGUAGCGGUGAAAUGCGUAGAGAUCUGGAGGAAUACCGAUGGCGAAGGCAGCCAUCUGGCCUAAUACUGACGCUGAGGUACGAAAGCAUGGGGAGCAAACAGGAUUAGAUACCCUGGUAGUCCAUGCCGUAAACGAUGUCUACUAGCCGUUGGGGUCUUUGAGGCUUUAGUGGCGCAGCUAACGCGAUAAGUAGACCGCCUGGGGAGUACGGUCGCAAGACUAAAACUCAAAUGAAUUGACGGA